rnacentral:rRNA from 1 species
AUACGGAGGAUCCGAGCGUUAUCCGGAUUUAUUGGGUUUAAAGGGUGCGCAGGCGGCCGUGCAAGUCAGCGGUGAAAGCCCGGGGCUCAACCCCGGAAGUGCCGUUGAUACUGCAUGGCUGGAAUGCGGUCGAGGCGGGCGGAACGUGGCGGGUAGCGGGGAAAUGCGUAGAUAUGCCACAGAAAGCCGAUGGCGGAGGCAGCUCGCCAGGCCUGCAGUGACGCUCGGUCACGAAAGCGUGGGGAGCGAACAGGAUUAGAUACCCUGGUAGUCCACGCCGUAAACGAUGGGCGCUCGUCGUCGGCGGCAGACAGUCGGCGGCCAAGCGAAAGCGAUAAGCGCCCCACCUGGGGAGUACGGUCGCAAGGCUGAAACUCAAAUGAAUUGACGGGG